rnacentral:rRNA from 1 species
GAUGAACGCUGGCGGCGUGCUUAACACAUGCAAGUCGAACGAUGAAGCCCAGCUUGCUGGGUGGAUUAGUGGCGAACGGGUGAGUAACACGUGGGUAACCUGCCCUUGACUCUGGGAUAAGCCUGGGAAACUGGGUCUAAUACUGGAUAUGACUUCUCAUCGCAUGGUGGGGGGUGGAAAGAUUUAUUGGUCUUGGAUGGACUCGCGGCCUAUCAGCUUGUUGGUGAGGUAAUGGCUCACCAAGGCGACGACGGGUAGCCGGCCUGAGAGGGUGACCGGCCACACUGGGACUGAGACACGGCCCAGACUCCUACGGGAGGCAGCAGUGGGGAAUAUUGCACAAUGGGCGCAAGCCUGAUGCAGCGACGCCGCGUGAGGGAUGACGGCCUUCGGGUCGUAAACCUCUUUCAGUAGGGAAGAAGCGAGAGUGACGGUACCUGCAGAAGAAGCGCCGGCUAACUACGUG